GGUAGUAGUGGUUAGUGCUCUGCCUGUAGGCGGAUUGGAGGAUCAUGUAAGGAGUUCGAGGCGUUGGCCUAGUCUGACCAGACUGCACCCCAGCGUGGGUAGGUUUCACAGCUUUGAGGUCCUCUCUGGUGACGACGUGCCCUACAGCUGAGGAUGGUUCCAGACUCGAGAAAACAAGAGAGAGCUAUCCACUUGCUAGGGCUCCGACUGUUAGGUGGGGUAUGGACGACUAUCUAACAUUCAAG
rnacentral:lncRNA from 1 species